AAUAUUGGACAAUGGGGGCAACCCUGAUGCAGCCAUGCCGCGUGUGUGAAGAAGGUCUUCGGAUUGUAAAGCACUUUAAGUUGGGAGGAAGGGCUUGAGGUUAAUACCCUGAAGUUUUGACGUUACCAACAGAAUUGGCACCGGCUAACUCUGUGCGAGCAGCCGCGAAAAUACAGAGGGUGCAAGCGUUAAUAGGAAUUACUGGGCGUAAAGUGCGCGUAGGUGGUUCAGUAAGAUGGGUGUGAAAUCCCCGGGCUUAACCUGGGAACUGCUUUCAUAACUGCUGAGCUAGAGUACGGUAGAGGGUAGUGGAAUUUCCUGUGUAGCGGUGAAAUGCGUAGAUAUAGGAAGGAACACCAGUGGCGAAGGCGACUACCUGGACUGAUACUGACACUGAGGUGCGAAAGCGUGGGGAGCAAAC
rnacentral:rRNA from 1 species